CAGACUUUGAUUCUGGCUCAGGAUGAACGCUAGCUACAGGCUUAACACAUGCAAGUCGAGGGGCAGCAUCAUCAAAGCUUGCUUUGAUGGAUGGCAACCGGCGCACGGGUGAGUAACACGUAUCCAACCUGCCGACAACACUGGGAUAGCCUUUCGAAAGAAAGAUUAAUACCGGAUGGCAUAGUUUUCCCGCAUGGGAUAAUUAUUAAAGAAUUUCGGUUGUCGAUGGGGAUGCGUUCCAUUAGGCAGUUGGCGGGGUAACGGCCCACCAAACCAACGAUGGAUAGGGGUUCUGAGAGGAAGGUCCCCCACAUUGGAACUGAGACACGGUCCAAACUCCUACGGGAGGCAGCAGUGAGGAAUAUUGGUCAAUGGACGAGAGUCUGAACCAGCCAAGUAGCGUGAAGGAUGACUGCCCUAUGGGUUGUAAACUUCUUUUAUACGGGAAUAAAGUUAGCCACGUGUGGCUUUUUGUAUGUACCGUAUGAAUAAGGAUCGGCUAACUCCGUGCCAGCAGCCGCGGUAAUACGGAGGAUCCGAGCGUUAUCCGGAUUUAUUGGGUUUAAAGGGAGCGUAGGCGGGUUGUUAAGUCAGUUGUGAAAGUUUGCGGCUCAACCGUAAAAUUGCAGUUGAUACUGGCGACCUUGAGUGCAACAGAGGUAGGCGGAAUUCGUGGUGUAGCGGUGAAAUGCUUAGAUAUCACGAAGAACUCCGAUUGCGAAGGCAGCUUACUGGAUUGUAACUGACGCUGAUGCUCGAAAGUGUGGGUAUCAAACAGGAUUAGAUACCCUGGUAGUCCACACAGUAAACGAUGAAUACUCGCUGAUGGCGAUAUACAGUCAGCGGCCAAGCGAAAGCAUUAAGUAUUCCACCUGGGGAGUACGCCGGCAACGGCGCAACUCAAAGGAAUUGACGGCGCGGCGC
rnacentral:rRNA from 1 species